UCAUUUGUUCCACUCAACUUAGGCCUAGUUUAAGCUAGUUAAUUGUGUCUUUUCUCUAAAUAGAGCACAACAAACGUGGGUGUUUUCAUACCAAUAAAUACUCUUCAAUAUUCCUACCAUUGCCACAAAUGGGAACGUAAUGUCGUGCGUGUUUUCUACAGGUAGCCUUGCAUUCUUUGCGUCCCUAGAAACAACGUCGACGUGCACAAGCAAGGUCACGCAUCAUAAAUGCCGUUUAUUCCAAAAGAAAGAGUGCUUUACCGAAACACAGUAUGCAUCGGAGGCAGAAAAUUUAUUCAAGCUCUGAAGUCCCAAACAACUGAAAAUGCUCCAAAACACCAUCACGUGACCCUGGUAUUCUCAAAGUGCUGGUGAAAGUGUUUGUUUUUUAGGCCUAAAUAUUUGUUGAUAGUAGAGAGGCGGAUUGAUAGACUUUAUAACAAGUCAUGAUCAACAUUCCCCAACUGUUAGUUAAUUACACUAGUCAGUCUACAUCUGUAUUGUUUCUUUGCAACCUCUGUCAACAAACUCAAAUUUAUCCAUUUAUACCUGAAUAAUUGUGUUGUUUUAAGAUUAUGACUAGGCCUACAGCAUCUAACUAACUGUAAUCCUCUGAUAACUAAAUGUCUGAAGGCAAAAUACCAUUUUAUUGAUGAAUAUAUAUCCAUUUAACUCAUACAGAUUAGUGUAGGGUGUAAUGUUGGAAUGUUUUUGUUGACAGUAGCAGACACUACAUCUGCCUAUGAGCAAUGGACAAAACUGAGAAUACCUUAUCAUGAACCGUAGUGAACACUGCUGGCAACAUCCUGUUUUAUUGGCACACAACAGCAUCCCUCCUGAUCAAGUGAAAAGGAAUCCUAUGACACCGCUUGAUCUUUGUCUGACAUGGAAAUCUGCAAAUCAAAUAAGGUGGAAGAAUAACAUCUGGUUAAAAAAUUUAUGUGGAAAAAUAUCUGCUUUAAAGUGAUGUCAUGAACUGGACGCUGCACUCUUGAUUCCAACACUAAUAUUGUCAUGACCAAAUGUUAAAGUUCAUAUUCAGCAAGUUGAAGAUAACUGACACCAUCUUUAAGUAUAAGUUGCACAAAUAUGGUAUUCAGAAGUUUUUUGUUUUCACUACUGAUGUAUAUAUAGUAUAAAAAAAUGGAUUUCUGUAAUAGAAUAAAGUAUUGGAAUACA